CCAUGGCGCCUGUUUAUCAAAAACAUGGUUUUUUGAUGUUAUAAAAAAUCUGACCUGCUCAAUGCAUAUGUAAAUAGCCGCAGUAUUUUAACUGUGCUAAGGUAGCAUAAUCAUUUGUCUUUUAAAUUAAGUCUAGAAUGAAAGGUUUGACGAAGGAAAAGCUGUCUUCUUGUUAUAUAAUGAAUUUAAUUAAUUAGUAAAAAGGCUGAUAUAAAUUUGAGGGACGAUAAGACCCUAUUAAACUUGAUUUUAUAAUUUUACUGGGGCGGUAAUUUAAGAUGAAAAUCUUAUUUGAUAAAGUAUAAUUUGUUGAUCCAAUAUGAUUGAGGAAAAGAUAAAGUUACUAUAGGGAUAACAGCUUAAUUUUUUUUUGAAGCUCAUAUUUAGAAAAAAGUUUAAGACCUCGAUGUUGAAUUAAAGUAUCUUUUUAGUGAAGCAGUUAAAAUAAGAAAGUCUGUUCGACUUUUAAAUCUUUACGUGAUCUGAGUUCAGACCGGCCAUGG
rnacentral:rRNA from 1 species